rnacentral:rRNA from 1 species
AUUGAACGCUGGCGGCAGGCCUAACACAUGCAAGUCGAACGAGUGGCGGACGGGUGAGUAAUGUCUGGGAAACUGCCUGAUGGAGGGGGAUAACUACUGGAAACGGUAGCUAAUACCGCAUACCAUCAGAUGUGCCCAGAUGGGAUUAGCUUGUUGGGGGGGUAACGGCUCACCAAGGCGACGAUCCCUAGCUGGUCUGAGAGGAUGACCAACCACGCUGGAACUGAGACACGGUCCAGACUCCUACGGGAGGCCGAAGUGGGGAAUAUUGCACAAUGGGCGCAAGCCUGAUUCACCCAUGCCGCGUGUAUGAAGAAGGCCUUCGGGUUGUAAAGUACGUUCAUCGGGGAGGCUUUACCCGCAGAAGAAGCACCGGCUAACACCGUGCCAGCCGCCGCGGUAAUUC